GAUUCGCGCAUGUGACUGUCAAUCAACACGGGCAGGACCGGUUUUCAUGGAGGAAUCGCGUGAGGCAUGGAAAAGAAAAGGCGAGCAUGACGAUGCCCCUGUGCACAAAGCGAGUCCUAUGAGGACAUGGUUCGUCAAGGUUGGAGUGGAAGAACUCGAGUGGCCUGCACAGAUCCCUGACCUCAACUCCACUGAACACCUUUGGGACGUACUGGAACACUGACUGCACCCCAGACCUCCUCACCCAACAUCAAUACCUGAUCUCUCUAGUGCUCUUGUGGCUGAAUGAGCACAAAUCCUCACAGCCUCGCUCCAAAAUCUAGUGGAAAGCCUUCCCAGAAGAGUGGAGGUUAUUAUAACUGUAAAGGGGGGGGGGCUACAUCUGGAAUGGGUUAUGGAAUCUUAUAAAAUGUCCUGGAAUGUUCCAAAAAUCAUGUGGGUGUGAAUGUCAGGUGUCCACAUAUUUUUGGCCAUAUAGUGUAAAAUUAAAUUGAAUAAAAUUUUGAGCCACUGAGGUGGUGGUCUGACAAUCUAAAUUCUUUGUUAUUCCAGGUUUCCAUUUUCAAUAUUGUAUGUUUUAUUGUUUUUGCUACCUAAUUUUCCUCAAGCUAUUUCCUCAUCUAUUAGUUGCAUCAUCCCAUUGUAGGAAAGCUGCCAAUUUGGGAAGAUAAAAGUCAACAUUUACUUCCUGUUAUACACUGACAUUUUCCGAAUUGCUGCUUAAGCAAUGCCAGGGCAGCUGAACAUGCCUGGAGAAGAUCAUUAUUAUGUAUAUGAGCUUACAGAUGCCUGCAAUUGGCUAAAGUCAGUCUGUUCAACAGG